AAAGUAACAAUGAAAUUAUGAUUGGAGUAAUGUCAGGAGGAAUUCUGAUUUACAUGAACAGAGAACGAAUGAAUACUUUUCCAUGGAUUCUAUUUGACAAAUUACUUUGAAAACACCAAGAUAUAAUCUCUCUGGGGAAAAUUUGAAUGACCUCAUGAUAUUUGAGAUGGUUUUUAAAGGAUGAACAGAAAUUUGCUCAGUGAAGAAAAGACGUAAAAAGGUUUCUCAGAGAAUUGAGGACACAGGGCAUACUGCAGCUCUGAAAACUGGAGAGACAGAUGAAUACAAGGAGUGACAGCUUACCAGGACUAGAAGCCACUGCUGCUGCAGCAAUACUUACAGGGUAAUUGACAAAUUGCUGGAAACUGAGCAAAGACUAGCCUGACAGAAACUCCUGGAGGCCCUGCUUAGAAAGGCUAAGGAUGGAGUGAGCUGAAGGGCACUGAAGGUCGAAGCCAAGAGACCCAGACCGCCACACCACUGAGAUUUCAUCACAGGAUUAAAGACCAGUUCCUCUCCAACCCCAAACUUAACUGCCACAUCGGCAGGGUUCCUGUGUUAUAACAGAGAGUUAUCAGGCAAAGAACUGCAAAGUGCAGACUAAGAAGAAGUCUCUAAAAUCCAAAGACAUUUUAAGAGAGACAAAGACAAGGAUAGUAGAGGAAAAAGUAGCCUCAAAUAGCUACCUCAGAAACUGUUCCUUUGAAAUGGUCACAAUUUUAUAAAAUUCGUUUCUAAAGAAAUUCGUGCCCAGGGCACUGUUGAAAAUAACAGAGGAGUUUUAUAGCUGGGUGUGGUAUUUGAAAAAAUCGGAUGACUGGUACCAUUGUCAUCUCAGCAUUAUUGUGGGCAAACCCAGAGCCGUGCUUUCCUAAAGAGCAACAACUUCAUGCAGAAGGGUAAGGGAGGUUAGGGGAUAAAUACAGAGUUUGUGAAAGUAAUCUACCAAAUAGUGAUAAGCUGGGAAGUUGAGAAACAAAUACUUAGACUCACUACGAUGUAAAACUUCAGUUCCCAGAAAAAUAUUAUAAGACAUGCAAAGAUAGGAGUUCCCGUCGUGGCGCAGUGGUUAACGAAGCCAACUAGGAACCAUGUGGUUGCCGGUUCGAUCCCUGCCCUUGCUCAGUGGGUUAAUGAUCUGGUGUUGCCGUGAGCUGUGGUGUAGGUCGCAGAUGCGGCUCGGAUCCCGUGUUGCUGUGGCUCUGGCGUAGGCUGGCAGCUACAGCUCCAAUUAGACCCCUAGCCUGGGAACCUCCAUAUGCCGCGGGAGCAGCCCAAGAAAUGACCA